rnacentral:lncRNA from 1 species
AAUACUCUAACUUGUUUUUAAAUGGGAGCAGAUGCCUCUGUUUCUUGAGCUGACUUCCAGAUUCUGAGAAAUAAAUGAAGAGUGGAGGCUUGUUUUGGUAGAGGCUGAGAAAAGGAGUUGGCCAUAUUUGCCCUUCAGAACUUCGUGUCAUCCCCCAGCUCCCCAACGGCAGGGCCACAUUCUUUCACAGGACGGAGUUGGGGCAGAUUAUGGCUUCCUCUGGAUUGGAUUUCCCUUGGCUUCC